CCAGCGGGGAGAAAGCCGGCCAGUUCCUGGGUCGCAGGGGCCUCCAGCGUCCGAGGUCGGUGCUUCGGGCGACCUUGGGUUGCUGCUGGAACCCUGACGUGCAGCAGGCCCAGGCCACGGUUCGCGGAGAGCGUCGGGCGCUGGUCCUCAAGAUCUCCCGGCUCUGCCCUUGCAGAGCUCAGUGGGGGAGACGUGCGUGCGCUUCCCUCGGGCAGGGCCGCUGCCCUCCUCCGCCCUUCACCCCAGACACCCUGGGGCAGUGGGGCCUCCCCCCAUCCGGUUGCUUCUGCUUUUCCUAACCCAGUUAGGAAACUCCGAGACCACAGGAGCCUCAGUCCGGCCACUGUGGCCUCCCCGUGACCAUGACCCAGAGGUUGGACAGCCCCGCAGGGCUGGACGUUUGACUUUGGCUCAGUUCCUCCACCGUUCCCUUCAUUUAUCCUGUGCCUCUCCCAGGCCUGUGGAUUUUGCUGUGGCCCCAAGCCGGCCCGAAGGCUCCUGGAGGUGGUAGGGUCAUGGCCUGAGGCGGUGCUGGGGAGGAGAGCUCGGGCCAGGAGUUCAGGGCAGCUACAGGUGGGGGGGUGCCGAGCCACCCUCAGCCUGCCCCCUGCCUACCUCUCAGAAAGGUGUGGAGGUUCCAGCGGGGCGGGGGCUCUCUGGGGCUCCAUCCUAGUGAGUGCCCCUCUCAGCUGAGGAGGAACCGAGAGCGGCGCUGGGGCACCUGAGCCCAGGAAGGCAACAGGCCGGCCGGGACCGCGAGUGCCUGGCGGAGCAGGCGCAGCCCAGGACUCCCGGCUCCCACCUCCGGCUGUAGUCCAGGGCCAAGGCUUGUGUUCAAUCGUGUGAAUGGCCGGCGGGCCCCCUCCACGUCCCCAUCCUUCGAGGGGACCCAGGAGACCUACACAGUGGCCCACGAGGAGAAUGUCCGCUUUGUGUCCGAAGCCUGGCAGCAGGUGCAACAGCAGCUGGAUGGUGGCCCAGCCGGUGAGGGCGGGCCAAGGCCUGUGCAACUUUGUGCCCAUUGACCUAGACGAGUGGUGGGCGCAGCAGUUCCUGGCGAGAAUCACCAGCUGUUCCUAGUGGCUGCUGGGAGGGGGCGCUGCUACACGGCCGACCUGUCGCCAGGAGAGAAGCAUGGCGCCCUGCCCACCCACUGCGCCUGGCUGGGUGCCGGCCACACCUGAAGUGCCAGCAUUUGGACUUUUGCACCUUUUUUUCCCUUGGCCCGGCUGUCCCAACCAAGCUGCCAUGGCCAAGGGCCGAACCCGUCUGACCUCAGCCCUGCUCACUGUGCCCAGGGACCAGCGACCAGCCCCUGGGGCUGGCAGGGAGGAGCUCCAGGCUAAUAAAGUGGAGAAACUG
rnacentral:lncRNA from 1 species